AGAUUGGUUCUGGAAUGUCAGGGUGUCCACCUGGUCCUGGAGUUAGUGACAAGUGAAAACAAACCUAUUAGUCUGCAAUGAUACUUUCAUACAAACAGGGUCCAAAUUACACUUUGACUCUUGGGCGGGGUCUGCGACAGUGGCAGCUGAAAGGAGCUGCUGUCGCUGCCGCCUGGGCUGCUUAGAAAGGCAUGGGGCAGGCCAGGGGCUGACUGGCCCACGGGAGGGUUCUUGCCUCUUAUGGGCGGGGAGGAGGCUCUCAUCUAUUAUGGGGGGGGCUCAUCCCCCCCACCAAAUUAGAACCGUGCAUACAAAUCAACUUCCGCUGCCAAAGCACAUGGGGAAAUGACCACAAGGCCUAAGAUGUUGCUGCCUGGGGAUGUUUUCAGAUUAAUUCACUCAAACACUCAGUGAAGACUUUAAUAACCUAAGCUAAGAGAACCAGCAUUUUAGCUUGGGAUCCUCUCACUAGCCACAUCUUUAGCUGAUUGCAGCUUCUUAAAUUCUGUCCUGCUAAACCAUCCCAGCUUUUAUGGCUCGCUGAGACCAAAUAUGCCUGCUUUGAAAAGCAUAUCUUUACAUGAGACUUGUGAAAGCGGUUAUUUGUUAAAGGCAGGGACAGUCCCUGGGGGUACAAUGGUAUGGCUGCAACCCACUGACUAUGUAGUACAAAUGCAGAGAGUUCACCAUUGCUGAGAACUCUGGUCUCAAUCACUGGUCUCUGCUGUCGGUCACACCACCUAUGCCAGUGGACUCUUUGCCCCUCCUCCCUCUUUUUAAAAUCACAGAUAUGCUCCUAGUAGGUUACUGUUUCUCAGUUUCAUAAUGGGGAGGAAAUAGUAUUCAGUCUCUGCCACUGUCCUAAGCUCUAGGGUAGCUAAAAUGGUUAAGCAGCAAAAGUGUUUAUGGUGUUGACUUCAAAUUGUCAUCGCUCUGCCUCAGACAUAAUUCUCCUGAGAUGAAUGAAGACAGUUCACAGCACUCUACAACUGCAAUACUAAAGCUCUACGAAAUGGGCUUUGUACAAAGUUUCUAAAGAGAGUAAGGGGGAAAUGUUUUGGUUUGAAGUGGCUGCACAACUAUUACCCAUCACUGUUAGCAGGACCUGGGCUGACUCUACCAUUUACUUCUACACAGGGAUAGGGCAGAAGUAAAGCUUCCAGGUAAAAAAAGUUAUUUGUUCCUUCUCCCCUUAUCAUAUGACACCAUUUAACUGAGCAGCUAAAACCGAAAUUGUGUCCUGUUUGCCUCAUCAUUGGUAAGGGAGAUUCUGCAGUCAGAACAUAGGUAUCUGUUUUGAUGAUGAUGCAUGAAGUAGUAUAGGGUACAGCUCACUCUUUCUUAAUGUCAUUGGUUCUGCAGUGCUGAAGCAGAAUAGCAGGGUACAAAACAACUCAUUUUCCAGCAAUGGAGAAGUUGACUUCAGAAGAACAUGGCUAACUAACUCUUGGUGAUGGAGCCUGAGAGACAAUAAAUGUACUCACCCUGGUGAAUGUCUGACACUGAAACAUGUUAUUGAGAGGCAUUCCUUUUUACCCCUACAGAAGAUAUUCAAAAUAGUCAAUUCUCAGGCUCCGGGACUGCCCAGUAUGCCUGGAAAACGUCUGGAAUCCAUGGAUCUGCUUUUGCUCCAUGCCUGCUGCUCCCUUGGCUCGGUGUGGCCUCGCACUGCUUCUGGUCUUCAGCCCCAGACCAACACAAAUAUCAAAUAUAUACCCUGAAACAUGGAAGAUGCCAAAUUUUAGCUGAUUUUGGAUUUAAUCUUCAUUGCUGAAUGACAAGAAAGAGUUCUACACCUCCCAGCCCGUCUGCCAUCUGACACGGCCAGGGAAGGAAUCCUGUCUUAUCUGCACAUCAAAGAGCAACUCACAAAGACACUCAUGGACCCAGAAGAACAGAUUUCCACCUUCAGCUUACUCUGUGCAAAAAUGAAGUUUAUUUUCUACCUAUGGGGACUUUGUACCAUCUUUAAUUUUCCCUAAGCCUGAGGAAGGAUGUGUGUGCCUGAAAGCUUGCAGAAAAAAGAUAAUUUCUUUGCUAUUUCUUAGUUGGUCUAAUAAGAGGUAUCAUCUCCGAACCAAAAGUUCUAGAGUUUUGCAUUUUUUUUUGUCUCAGAACAACAUGGCUACCAAAUACAUCCCUUUACAGCACACAACAUUUACA